CUCCUGAGGAGAAAGAAAGAGAGGGAGGGAGAGAAAAAGAGAGAGAGAGAAACAAAAAACCAAAGAGAGAGAAAAAAUGAAUUCAUCUAAAUCAUCUGAAACACAAUGCACAGAGAGAGGAUGCUUCUCUUCCCAAAUGUUCUUAUGGACUGUUGCUGGGAUCCCCAUCCUAUUUCUCAGUGCCUGUUUCAUCACCAGAUGUGUUGUGACAUUUCGCAUCUUUCAAACCUGUGAUGAGAAAAAGUUUCAGCUACCUGAGAAUUUCACAGAGCUCUCCUGCUACAAUUAUGGAUCAGGUAUAAUAGUCCCAAAGGUGAACAUCAAAAUUUACAAAGCAACAUUUUCUGGCUUCUAGAUUGACUUUGGGACAGCUCGUGUCCUCUGUCUCUUGCCUCAGCGCCUGGGUGGCUUGCCGCCCACAUCUAACCCAUCUAUAUACUACAGUAUGGAGAUUUGAUUGAGGAUACAUUGUUUAGGAAUUCCUUUCCUACAAGAAACCUAAAAUGAGAGAGUUUUUUAUUGGACUGUCAGACCAGGUUGUCGAGGGUCAGUGGCAAUGGGUGGACGGCACACCUUUGACAAAGUCUCUGAGCUUCUGGGAUGUAGGGGAGCCCAACAACAUAGCUACCCUGGAGGACUGUGCCACCAUGAGAGACUCUUCAAACCCAAGGCAAAAUUGGAAUGAUGUAACCUGUUUCCUCAAUUAUUUUCGGAUUUGUGAAAUGGUAGGAAUAAAUCCUUUGAACAAAGGAAAAUCUCUUUAAGAACAGAAGGCACAACUCAAAUGUGUAAAGAAGGAAGAGCAAGAACAUGGCCACACC
rnacentral:lncRNA from 1 species